UGGGGAAUAUUGGACAAUGGGGGCAACCCUGAUCCAGCCAUGCCGCGUGUGUGAAGAAGGCCUUCGGGUUGUAAAGCUCUUUUAGUCGGAAAGAAAGAGUUGCAAUGAAUAAUUGUGAUUUAUGACGGUACCGACAGAAAAAGCACCGGCUAACUACGUGCCAGCAGCCGCGGUAAUACGUAGGGUGCGAGCGUUAAUCGGAAUUACUGGGCGUAAAGGGUGCGCAGGCGGUCUUGCAAGUCAGAUGUGAAAGCCCCGGGCUUAACCUGGGAAUUGCGUUUGAAACUACAAGGCUAGAGUGCAGCAGAGGGGAGUGGAAUUCCAUGUGUAGCAGUGAAAUGCGUAGAGAUGUGGAAGAACACCGAUGGCGAAGGCAGCUCCCUGGGUUGACACUGACGCUCAUGCACGAAAGCGUGGGGAGCAAACA
rnacentral:rRNA from 1 species